UACGGGGGGGGCUAGCGUUGCUCGGAAUGACUGGGCGUAAAGGGCGCGUAGGCGGCUUGCACCGUCAGAUGUGAAAUUCCUGGGCUUAACCUGGGGGCUGCAUUUGAUACGUGUGGGCUUGAGUGCGGAAGAGGGUCGUGGAAUUCCCAGUGUAGAGGUGAAAUUCGUAGAUAUUGGGAAGAACACCGGUGGCGAAGGCGGCGACCUGGUCCGUGACUGACGCUGAGGCGCGAAAGCGUGGGGAGCAAACAGG
rnacentral:rRNA from 1 species